rnacentral:tRNA from 1 species
GCUCAGUUGGUUAAGUGUCUGACUCUUGAUUUCAGCUCAGGUCAUCAUAGUUCGUGGGUUCGAGCCCACAUUGGGCU